GCUCGUGCCCGAUCCUCCCCCCUUUGUGUACCUACCUCUGUUGCUUUGGCGGUCCGCGGUCCUCCGCGGCCGCCCCCCUCCCCGGGGGGGGGGCCAGCGCCCGCCAGAGGACCAUCAAACUCCAUUCAGUAAACGAUGCAGUCUGAAAAACAUUUAAUAAACUAAAACUUUCAACAACGGAUCUCUUGGUUCUGGCAUCGAUGAAGAACGCAUGAAAAUGCGAUAAAUAAUGUGAAUUGCAGAAUUCAUGGAAUCAUCGAAUCUUUGAACGCACAUUGCGCCCUUUGGUAUUCCUAAGGGAAUGCCUGUUCGAGCGUCAUUACAACCCUCAAGCUCUGCUUGGUAUUGGGCACCGGCCUUUGCGGGCGCGCCUCAAAGACCUCGGCGGCGGCGUCUUGCCUCAAGCGUAGUAGAACAUACAUCUCGCUUCGGAGCGCAGGGCGUCGCCCGCCGGACGAACCUUCUGAACUUUUCUCAAGGUUGACCUCGGAUCAGGUAGGGAUACCCGCUGAACUUAAGCAUAUCAA
rnacentral:rRNA from 1 species